CACAAUCAUAGCAUCUUGGGGAAAGGGUAGGACAUGCCCUCUGGAUGGUUUUUCUAUAUUAGGUAAAGGCUCCAUUUCUGCUUCCACAUCAGGCAUCAGAAUUCAUUUUAAAGGGAAAAUUACUGUUUGGGCAAAUAUUUUCUCACCUCGGUGCAGAUCAAGGUAAGA
rnacentral:lncRNA from 1 species